AAACCGGCCCUCUUUAGGGCCACACAUUGUGAUUGCUUACCACCAU
rfam:Opisthorchis viverrini opera_v5_935.2, whole genome shotgun sequence.